rnacentral:rRNA from 1 species
UACGAAGGUCCCAAGCGUUAUCCGGAUUUAUUGGGCUUAAAGGGUGCGUAGGCGGGUUAUUAAGUCAGUGGUGAAAGCUCCAUGCCUAACAUGGAAAUUGCCAUUGAUACUGAUGAUCUUGAGUACAUUUGAAGUGGGCGGAAUGUGUCAUGUAGUGGUGAAAUACUUAGAUAUGACACAGAACACCGAUUGCGUAGGCAGCUCACUAAACUGUAACUGACGCUGAGGCACGAAAGCGUGGGGGGCAAACAGG